rnacentral:rRNA from 1 species
GACGAACGCUGGCGGCGUGCUUAACACAUGCAAGUCGAGCGGAGCGACGAACGGUUGAGUAACGCGUGAGUAACUGCCCCCCUCUCUGGGAUAACCGUUGGAAACGGCUGCUAAUACCGGAUAGUGGGGGGGGAGUCGCGUCCUAUCAGUGUGUUGGUGGGGUAGUGGCCUACCAAGGCGACGACGGGUAGCCGGCCUGACAGUGCGACCGGCCACAUUGGGCUGGGAUACGGGCCGAACUCCUACUGGAGGCAGCAGUGGGGAAUAUUGCACAAUGGGGGAAACGCUGAUGCAGCAACGCCGCGUGCGGGAUGACGGCCUUCGGGUUGUAACCCGCUUUCAGCCAUGACGCGGUAGUGGCAGAAGAAGCACCGGCUAACUACGUGCCAGCAGCCGCGGUAAUAC